UCUGUUGAGAAGACCUGAAGUUGGAAGCAGCUUCUUUCCUGUCUUGAAUCAGGAGGUCUGUCUGCAAGCCUAAUUGGAGCCUGGCAGCCGGUUGUGACUGGCUCCAUUACAAGGAGGCUACGCCAGUCAGCUGUUGGUGCUUAACAUGCAAGUCAUGUCAGAGCAAGCACACACGAUUCAGGGGCAGACAGCACUGUGUAGGGUUUCACCGGGAUGCAUGCAUCUAUGGCACAUAAACUUGAAAAGGAGCUGUCUUUGGAUGGAUCACGAGGAAAGGUUCCUGAAGCACAGCUGCACCUCAUCAGUUUAUCAUCCCAGCAGUUCAUCUACCCCGGUCCUUCCUUCAUUCAGUGCCAGGUUGUUUAAACAAGAGGAAACCCGCUGAAGCCAAAACUUCUGGAUCCUACU